UCCGAGUUGACCCCGGUAGUCUCCUAUGAGUCCCCGGCAUGAUCCGCUGGCAACAUAGGACGAGGGUUGCGCUCGUUGCGGGACUUAACCCAACAUCUCACGACACGAGCUGACGACAGCCAUGCAGCACCUGUGUCCAGGUUCCCUUUCGGGCACCGCUGCAUUUCUGCAGCGUUCCUGGCAUGUCAAGGGUAGGUAAGGUUUUUCGCGUUGCAUCGAAUUAAACCACAUGCUCCACCGCUUGUGCGGGCCCCCGUCAAUUCCUUUGAGUUUCAGACUUGCGACCGUACUCCCCAGGCGGUGCGCUUAUCGCGUUAACUUCGGCACAAACCGAAAACCGGCUUACACCAAGUGCACAUUGUUUACGGCUAGGACUAC
rnacentral:misc_RNA from 1 species